AGAAAACACUGCAUCAUGAUCAUCUUCUUGUGUUUAAUCUUUAGACUUGUACAGGUUUCAGGGUCUUCUCACAUUGACAAAGUCCACCAGACUCCUGCUGAAUCUUUCUACACAUCUGAAGAAACAGCUGCCAAAAUCAAUUGUGUCCAUCAUAUCCAGGACUAUAACCGAAUCUUUUGGUACAAGCAAUCAAAGAACAAUGAGCUGCAGCUCCUGGGAUACAUGAAUGUCGAUAAAGACUAUCCAGAGAGUGGAGUAAAUGUGACGAUGACUGGGCGUUCAACUAAAGGCGAGACCUGCAUAUUAACAAUUAAAGGACUCAACCUAAAUAGCAGUGCAGUGUAUUUCUUAUUUUGCACUGUGACCAACACACAACCUGCUUACUUUGGCCAAGGAACCAAACUCACAGUUUUAGCAUCAGGGCGUGAUGUCACUGCACCAAAAGAAGUAAAAAUACUGGGACCUUCAGAACAUGAGUGCAGAAACAGCAAAGACAAAAAAAGGAAGAAGACCCUCGUCUGUGUGGCCUCUGGUUUCUACCCUGACCAUGUCAAAGUGUAUUGGCAUAUGAACGAGAAAAAUGUCACUAAUGGUGUGGCGACAGAUGAAGCUGCGCGUGAAGAAAUAAAUGAGAAAAACGAGGUUGUGUACAAAAUCACCAGCAGGCUGAGAGUCUAUGCCAAACAAUGGGAAAAUCCUAAAAAUACCUUUAAAUGCAUUGUCGGAUUCAUCACUGCCAAUGGCACAGAAACUCCAUUUCCUUCAAAACCUAUUAGAGGAGUUCAGGCUGAUACAAAGUCUAUGUCAAGAGAGAAGUAUUUGACAACUACACAAAAUUUCAAGGUCGUCUACAGCGUGCUUACUGUCAAGAGCUGUGCCUAUGGAGCUUUUGUUGGAUUUUUGGUGUGGAAGCUUCAGCGUUUUGGUGGAAAGCAGAAGUACUGAGAGCUGAGCUGAAGCCUCAAAAAAUAACUCUGGGACAUGAGUUACCUUGCUCUCUGUAAAUAUCGUUCACAAACAUAGUCUAUUGUUAAAGUGCACAAUGUUAAUCGCCUGUUCAAGUUCUGCUGUGGAUUUUUAUUUGCUUAUUUGUCUUUAUAUAAUUAAUAACUGCCUUUCAAAUAGACUGAUGUCAAUUUCUUUAGAUACAAAGUGAUUUUCUGUGUGUAACUUGAUUUUCUUCUCAAUAAAAAUAUGUUUGAGUAUUUUAAA